CGGCAUGAUACCGAGGGCUGUGGCUGGGUGCAGCCACGGGAUCUCCAGCUGCAGCACAUAAGAGCAAGCUGGAGAGACCCACAGCGCAGGGCAGCUGAUUCCUGCAGCUGCCGCUCGCCUUCCUCGUAACA